rnacentral:lncRNA from 10 species
ACACACACACACACACACACACACACACACACAUACACACAGAAAUUCCACCAUGAUUGGUCAGAAUAGGUGAGGUUUUGCUGCAAUAACAAACAACUCCUAAAUCUUGGUAACUUCAAACAUCAGUAGUUGUUUUUCUCACUCAUGCUACAUCUGCAGGGAGGUGUGGGGUGCUCUGUUUUCCAUCAAACUUGCCCUAAGACUAAGGCUAAUGGGGGCUGCAUUACCUCGAGUAUCACCAAGCAGGGAACAGCGGGACAAGAAUGCUAGAGAGCCUUGUACUAAGAAUUAAAUGCUCCAGGCUAGAAGUCUCACACUGCACCUCUGCCCCCAGCCUCUUGGCCAGUACUAGCAACAUCCCCUUCCCCACCACAGGGCAAUGCAUGAAGACAGGAGAAUUUGAUACAUUACAAAUUUCUACCCCAUGGCAUUUCAUAAAAGAGAAAAAAAUGCAAAUACAAAAAUGUUUUAAUAGAAUAGAAUAUAUACAUUUUUGGAAUAAAGAACAAUCCUCCAAAAAGGACAGCUGGUGGUCUUUCACCAAUGGGCACAUUUCUGUGACAUUUUCUCUGUUUUUCCAUUUUAUCCUUGACCUAUGAACAUUUUAUACAGAUGGUCCAAAGAACACCAUGUGGGGACCACUGCUCUAAUCAGGUGAUGAAAACGGCCCCAAGAACAGAGCACAGUCUCUUUAGCAAAGACCCAGCAGGGCCAGGGUGACCAUGUUCUCACCAUCAACGUGCAGACAUCCACCUGCAGCAUCCUCACAUCCCAACAUCAAACAGUGGCUCUUUAUAGCUUGAUUCUAAUGCCCUUUGAUCUUCAUAAUCAUUGUAAAGUUCUCUGGCCCCAAGAUCUAACAUCGCCACUCUAGCUACAUCCUGCAACUGUUCAUCUCUCCUGCCUCCUCAUCCCUCUAAACUUCUCUUCACAACCUCAUGUUUCCUUCUUGCUUUACCUUCCUGCUCAGCCUGGACCUUACAGUCACCUUCUUCUUGUAAUGUGCUCCUGAACUCGUUCUUCCCUGCCUUCAACCACACCCACCUGGAAAAUCUCCAUACCCCAUUGAUGACUUGCCUCGCAACUGCCCAAGGGCUGCUGAAUGAUACUGGAAAGAAUCACAACAUGGAUCUGGUAGUUCCACUAAAUAAUCUCACCAUCCAACUCUAGGAUAGACUUCACUUCUGUUCAGCAAUAUUUUUAAGCAUCACAAAUAAAUUCCAAACCAUAUUUGCUAGAACAACUGACUUUAAACCUCUUACAUAUCUCAAAGCCCCCCAAACCCAUCCCUAGGGAUUUCAGAGCCCAGAGUUGAGUUCUCUCAACUCACUUCCAUCUCACCCCUAGAUCACUGUACCUUGACCCUCUUCCUCUGCCUUUCCCAUGUUAUAAGGAGAAGCAUCCUUCUCCUUUCCCAAGCUACCUUCUCCACUUGUGCCUCAUUUGAGACCUCCCUUUAUCACCCGUUCCCUUGGAACUCCCAUGACUCACCACCUUCACUUGUCAUUUCACUCAUAAAUAUUUUGCACCAUGUAUGUGCCAGGCGUUUAACAUAGAAUCAUGCUUAAGUCUCUACAUGCUAACAAGAAAAACCUUGAUUAUCCCUGCUAUGCCCUCAAGUCAUUACCUUCCCCGCUCCUUUCCUGUGUUCCCAAACUUUGUUGAUCUUCAUCAAUCCCUCUGAUGCAGAUGGCUCCGAAGUUUGCACCCUAUUAGGUUGGUGCAAAAGUAAUUGCGGAUUUUGCCAUUAAAAGUAAUGGCAAAAAUAGCAAUUAUUUUUGUACCAGCCUAGUAAAUUUUCUCCUUCUACCAAACUUUGUCCCUGAGCCAUCUCAUCACCUAUAACUACCUCCUCCAUGCAGUUGAUUCCCAGAUCUCUAUUAUUCUACUGAAAGUCCGUUCCCCAACUUUCUCGGCUAGGAUAACAGAAGCCCAAUUAGAAUUCAUGAUACCAGUUUCCCACCACCACCACCACCACCACCACCACCACCACCACCACCACCACCGUCGCCCUGCCAUUGUUAGCAAAACCAUCUCUUGAGUGGAGCUCAAAGAUUUGUAAUCUCCCACUCCCCAGAAAGAUAACUUCAGACUCAGCCUAGAAGUAAAGUUCCUCCAGAUAUGGCCUCAACUACCCUCCAACCCAUGUCCCCAGUGCAUUCCUUUGAUGCCCCCUUCAGUGGAGUUAAAAUGGAGUUCUCCAGAGAAAGAGCAGAGAGAUAGAGGUAGAGCUAUACACAUAGAGAGAGACAGAUUGAUUAGUUGUAAGGGAUGGCUCACAUGGUUAUGGAGGAUAAGGAGUCCUGGAGUCUGCAGCCAGCAAGCUGGGGACCCAGGACAGCCAAUGAUAUAGUUCCAACUCGAGUCCACAUCUAAAGUCAGGAGAAGAUUGAUGUCCCAGCUCAAAUAUAAUCAGGUAAAAAGAGCAAAUUCUCUGUGACUUUACCUUUUUGUUUUGUUCAGGCCUUCAGUGGAUUGGAUGAGGCUCACCCACAUUGGGGAGGACAAUCUGCUUUAUUCAGUCUACCAAUUAAAUGUUAUCCUCAUCCAGAAUACCUCAGAGACACACCCAGAAUAAUGUGUAGCCAAAUAUUUGGGCACCCCACAGCCCAGUCAAAUUGAUACAUAACACUAACUAUCAGGUCUUGCUUCUACUCUCUCCCCAUUACUGCAUGGCCAAAUCCUUCCCUUAUUUCAAGGCUUAGUUCAAAUGUUACCUCUUAACUAAGCCUUCCCUGCUAACCCCAAAUAUUAAUAGAAUUGGUGUCUCCCUUCUCUGAUGUCUCAAAAUACGUUGUGUGUUUCUCUUUUACUGUAUUUAUUACAAACUCCCUUAUAAAUCAAGACAGUGAUUCCCAGACAAAUUAUCAAAAGAGUAUAAAAGAAGUCUUCUUUGAGUGUGAAAUAUCUCAUGGAAUAUAGCACAUGGCCUCUUCAUGAAGAAUCUACUGGGAGAGAAGAAGACAAGCUGGAAGAGACCAGGGAAAGGGGGUUAGUACAAAGCACAAUGAGGCUGGGCUCAUACAGUGGCUCACACCUGUA